GACGAACGCUGGCGGCGCGCCUAAAACAUGCAAGUCGAACGAGAAGCCCGGGCUUGCCCGGGUGGACAGUGGCGAACGGGUGAGUAACACGUGAGGAACCUGCCCCGAAGACCGGGACAACACCGGGAAACCGGUGCUAAUACCGGAUGCCUUCACCGGAUCGCAUGGUCUGGUGAAGAAAUGGAUUCCGCUUCGGGAUGGCCUCGCGGCCUAUCAGCUUGUUGGUGAGGUAACGGCUCACCAAGGCAACGACGGGUAGCUGGUCUGAGAGGAUGUCCAGCCACACUGGGACUGAGACACGGCCCAGACUCCUACGGGAGGCAGCAGUUAGGAAUCUUGCGCAAUGGACGAAAGUCUGACGCAGCGACGCCGCGUGCGGGAUGAAGGCCCUCGGGUUGUAAACCGCUUUCAGCAGGGACGAAAUUGACGGUACCUGCAGAAGAAGCCCCGGCCAACUACGUGCCAGCCGCCGCCGUAAAAC
rnacentral:rRNA from 1 species